rnacentral:lncRNA from 1 species
GGGCCAGGGGGUGGAGGGUCCACAGCAAAGACCCCCACUGCCAGAGAGAAGGCCAGGGCUGAACACAGGAGGGCUUGGGCCUAUCCUGCAGGUGAAGGGCACUCAGGCAGGGGCCACAGCUGGGUUUGUGUUUAGGAAGAUGAGUCUGGCAAUAGACGGUGCAGGGGAAGUCAUGGGGCUGUGAACAGGUGAAGUGGGCCACAAGGAAGCCAUUGAGACAUGCCAGAGAGGAGCUGGGAGCACAGACGCCUCCAGAAGCAUCGGGAGGUGCCAAUUAAGCCAGGCUGGGCACAGCCGAAGGCCAGUGGGAUGUGUCUGACAACUGAGAGGUCUGCUAUCUGCUGUGUCCCAGCCAGGGAGUGAAAUGAGUCCGAGUACGUGGUGAUGUGGCCAGGCAGAUGAAUCGGCACGGGGUGCUCACAUGGAGUCAUGAGGCUGAACGCACCUGUAGCAAUUGUGAGGCCACCACACUGAUUCUUCAGGUAGAAAGAAGACCAGUCGCUGACAUCUGGGAGCUGAUCUGGUCCUAUCUUGUAGGCCUCAGUGUUGCUAGGAGCUGUCCUGGCACUCACAGAUAGAGUCCCGCUUCCCUAAACCCUCCCCCAGAUUACUCAAGCCAAAUCCUGUAAGAAGUCCUUUCCA